CACAAUAAAAGUCCACCAUGUGUUUUUAAUACAUUCAAAUUGUGUGAAGAUCACAAGAUGUGAAGGCUAAAGAUCAAGUGCUCCACCCACCCAGCAGCCUCAGGCGAUGCGAGGAACUCUCAAAGGUGGACAAACCCCUCCUCGAACCACAGCUGUAGGGUGUUAAAGUGUGAAAAGGUGUGAACUGCAGGGCUUCUUGAGGGAUGAUCGCCUUCGAUUGGUACUUCUGAGACAUCCAUACCCAGUAACCUUAAAGAACCUGUUGAUAGGGGCCCCAGCCUUUCCUCACCUGCAUUAGGGACUUCACCUCCAGGUCUGGUCUAUCAUUGAGAACCGGCAGCCAUUAGAGCAAGAGUUGGAUUAACCCUUCUAAAGCACACAUGGUGCAGUCAUAAACCCCUUCUCUUUGCGCUGUUUACACUAACAGUAUCCAGCGGCGUGCGCAUGUGGGUGUUUAGUGCAUUAUAAAACCUAUAGAAUGCCGCCCUCUUAUUCCAGAUAUGUUUCAGAGUAAAUCAUAGUAUUUGUCUGGUCUCACAUUAUAUGGCGUGUUGCACAUUUACAUUCCCCCCUCAGUUUCUCGUUGCCAAAAACGAUAACUGUCCUUUACAGCAGGAAGAACCUCAUUUAUGGCCACCUUAUUCACUAGCUCCAAGAAACAGCAUGACGACGUCCUCAUGUUUACGACCAGCAGCAUGAAACGAAAGCUUGGGGAGUUUGCUGCAAGUUGAGCUUAAAUGCAGCAAUUAUUAUAGAAAUAGAGGCAUGCUUAAGUGAACUAAAGAGGGGGAUGACGAAUAAACACCUGCUUGCAAUUUUGCAAACUGAGACUGCUGAGUCUGGUCUCAGCUGGCGUGUACACUGUGAAUCAGUUUUCAGAAAAAUUUGAUAUAGAUCCAGGAUGAAUUCUCAGCAAGUAUAAACUGAUGUAUUUGGCACAUCGAUCAGAGGGUCUGGCCACAUGAAAUUAAAAAUUAAAUUUUGAUUCUAUCCCAAAUCCCGACUGAUGUAGCUGACCCAUAUGGACUGUUUGGGACAGAACAUGGAGUGCUGCAGGAGCUCUAUGCAGAGGAGCAUGAGGUGAAUGCUUAAAGAAGAACGUGAUGUCUUCUUUGUAAAUUUUUUGUUGUCACUUUGUACAUUCUUUUCUUAUCAUUGUCAGCCUUUCACAAUUGAACAUACAAAAAAA